CGUGUUUUCCAAAAGGUAGCGUUGGUACAAACAUAAUCCAACUUUUUUUUUUGGCCUCAGGUACGAGUUGGGAUGAAGUAGCAACUUCCAGCGGUAUCUUAAUCAGAUCUUAUGUCCAGAGAAAUGGAAGGGACAUCAUCCUUAGCAAGACCACUUCAAAGAAGUGCCUCUUUGUCAUUGUGGCCAAAUAUCAGGGAGUGGGGUGACACCACCUAAAUAAAAAAGGGGUGGAAAGCACUGUUGAAGAGACUGCUGCAUUGUUGUAACCUCACUUGGGGCAUUUCUGCUGUCGUUUGGGAAAUGGACUUCAUCAAAGGGGAACUUGGACACUAACUGAAUAUCAGAACAGCAUGCGCCCAUUAUGAGUCUCAGUGGCCUGAGGCAGAAGCAUGGAAAUUCCAGCGAGCAGCUUUAAAAGUGAAGAGGCCUAUGUGACCCACUGAAGCAAGAGCUCCUAAGCACCCAGCGUGCCAAGGGGAUGUGAUGUGACUUUUGAAUGUUUCUUGGACAUUCACAAUCAGGUGUUAUGCAGUUUGGAAUCAUGGAGACAGCUAAAGGUCAAUCUGGACCUUUCCCUGAAACAGUAUCCCACGUUCACUGUACACUUUCAAACUGCAAUAAAGAAUGAUUCAAAGA